CACUGCAGAGCAUCUCCUUAUUUUACCUGGCUUUGGUCCGCCGCUCUCUCUGAGCCCAACCCUAGCAAGUUAGGUGAGGCCUCACAGAUGAAGCCAGUUCUCUUUGAUUCACUCAAUCCACACUUUGGAUUCUAAGGCUCUCUACUUUCCAAAGGUGCCAUGGAAAUGUUGUUUGACAGAUUGGUUUCCUUUGACUUGCUCAAGCGAUUGGAGAAAGUAUUGUUGAAGAUCCAUGUAGUAGUCAACAAGGCGGAAGAGAGGCAUAUCUGCAUAAGCGAGGUACUCGACUUCAUUCCUUCUCGUUGUGGUAGUUUAAGCCCCACUCAGUCCAUGGGGUCCAAGAUAAGGGCAAUCAGUUGCCGGUCAGGAGAUAUUUCUGUUCUAGGUUUGAAGAAGGUUGCAGUGACAAUUUGUGCUUUGGAAACACCGAUCUCUGAUGGUAGAGAUGUUACAACGAUGUUAAGAAAUGAUAGCAUGGGGAUUUUUAUUAUUGGAAUGGGUGGAGUUGGUAAGAUUAGAUGCACAAAUUUUAUAUUAAAUUGAGCAAUGCUUUGCUUAUUGUUCAACGUCGGAUAAAGGGUUAUACAUCACACCCUUUGAUAAAACCGAUCGAGAAUAAGCAAAGUGAUUAUUUUCAUACAUUAUUAUUAAAGUCAUUUUUUCAAAAAUCACCUCCGUCCGAGGGGUGAAUGUAAUGCAUGACCUCAUUAAUGAUGUAGCUCAAUUUGUGAGAAGAGAAAUAUAACAUCUGUUCUCGUUGCUGGAGAAAUAUGCUUUAUAUAUGUUGAAAUAUUUUUUAAUAUAAGAUGGAGAAAGAAGAUAGGUAGCAAAUAAUAUUGAAAGGAAGAUCGGAUGUAAUCAUCAUAUACAAGACAAAGAGGAUGAUAAGUUGGAGGUUACCUUGUAAUACACUAUUUGGGAAAGUACUCUUUGAGAAUUCAUUUUUGAGGUGUAAUAAGCUGAGAUCGAGGAAAUGCAAACCUAUUUUUGUACUGAAAAAGGAAGUGGUUAUUGACGUGGUUUAUUGGCUUACUAUUUUCUCGUCAAUCUUCCACAAUUCCAUGCAGAUUUGUAGUGCUUAUGGUGUAGAAAGGUCAAAGGAUAAGAAAGGAUUUAUUUCCUUUAUGAAUGUGUAUUCUCAGUGAUUAUUGGAAGUUUUGUCUUCUGUUACAUGAAGAGGGCUUCCCAUUGAUGGAAGAGAUGAAGGAACUCAAGAUCUGUGAGCUGGUACCCAAUGGGAAGCUGUGAUUGCAAUUUGUAUGGUUGUAGAGUUGUACAUUAGGGACGCCUGUGUUGAUUUUUGUUUGAACUUUUCUCCAACACAACUUUGAUUUUUCACUCAGUAAAUGCCCAUAAGUAAAUGUUUUUGAUUUGAUUA